UACAGAGGGGGCAAGCGUUAUUCGGAAUCAUUGGGCGUAAAGCGCGCGUAGGCGGCCCGGUAAGUCCGCUGUGAAAGUCCAGGGCUCAACCCUGGAAAGCCGGUGGAUACUGCCGGGCUAGAGUCCGGAAGAGGCGAGUGGAAUUCCUGGUGUAGCGGUGGAAUGCGCAGAUAUCAGGAGGAACACCAAUAGCGAAGGCAGCUCGCUGGGACGGUACUGACGCUGAGGUGCGAAAGCGUGGGGAGCAAACAGG
rnacentral:rRNA from 1 species